AUUGAACGCUGGCGGAAUGCUUUACACAUGCAAGUCGAACGGCAGCACGGGGGCAACCCUGGUGGCGAGUGGCGAACGGGUGAGUAAUACAUCGGAACGUGCCCAGUCGUGGGGGAUAACGUAGCGAAAGCUACGCUAAUACCGCAUACGAUCUGUGGAUGAAAGCGGGGGACCUGUAAGGGCCUCGCGCGAUUGGAGCGGCCGAUGGCAGAUUAGGUAGUUGGGGGGUAAAGGCUCACCAAGCCGACGAUCUGUAGCUGGUCUGAGAGGACGACCAGCCACACUGGGACUGAGACACGGCCCAGACUCCUACGGGAGGCAGCAGUGGGGAAUUUUGGACAAUGGGCGCAAGCCUGAUCCAGCCAUUCCGCGUGC
rnacentral:rRNA from 1 species